rnacentral:sRNA from 1 species
GGUUAAUGUCAACAAUGAAAACAUGGAGCUGCUCUCUGCUUUGUUGGUGGCUGCUCUCUACCCAAAUAUUAUUGAAAUAGUUCCUCAAGCCACAAAUUUGUCUGGAAGUGGUGAGAGAGUCUCAAGAACCAAAUUUAAAACUGAGAAAGGAGAGUAUGUUGAUAUUCACCCUAGCUCUGUGAACUUUCAACACUAUUUCAAAAUUGGCUCAUUUUUGGUUUACCAUGAA